CAACCCAUAUCUUAAAAGGCAUCCAAUUUUAAAAUGAAGAAACUUGCUAUUACUGCAUUCAAUUUUCUUGUAAUAUUUCUUAUUUUAUCAUUGUGUGUUCAAAGCGAAUCGAGGAACUUAAACUUGUCCUCCACUGUCAGUCUCGAAGUGAAUUUGGGUUUAAUUAGGGGUCGCACUGCCAGAGAGACCCCGAUUAAAUCCAACCCUGCGCCUACGGCAAAUAGGCGCAGUCACCUAGUAUCUAGUCCACCACCGCCGAUUAUCAUGAAAUAAGGAAGAAGCUGAUCCGGAAGAACCAAAACCCGAGCAACGUUCCUAACGACACCGUGUCGUGUUGGAUUGCAUGCGGAAUUGGAGUUUUUAAGUUUAUGAAUUUUGAAUUUUAAAUAACAUAUUAUUGUGCUUUUAUGAAA